rnacentral:rRNA from 1 species
GACGAACGCUGGCGGCGUGCUUAACACAUGCAAGUCGAACGGAAAGGCCCUGCUUUUGUGGGGUGCGCGAGUGGCGAACGGGUGUGAAACACGUGAGUAACCUGCCCUUGACUGUGGGAUAACUUCAGGAGACUGGGGCUAAUACCGGAUAGGAGCUCCUGCUGCAUGGUGGGGCUGGGAAAGUUUCGGCGGUUGGGGAUAGACUCGCGGCUUAUCAGUUUGUUGGUGGGGUAGUGGCUUACCAAGGCUUUGACGGGUAGCCGGCCUGAGAGGGUGACCGGCCACAUUGGUACUGAGAUACGGCCCAGACUCCUACGGUAGGCAGCAGUGGAGAAUAUUACACAAUGGGCGGAAGCCUGAUGCAACAACGCCGCGUGCGGGAAGACGGCCUUCGGGUUGUAAACCGCUUUCACCUGAGACGAAGCGUUAGUGACGGUACCUGAUAAAGAAGCACCGGCUAACUACGUG